UUUUCUUUUUUUUUUUUUCCAAAAAGACCAAAAAAAAACACCUUUUUUAGAAGAUUUGUUAAAGCUACAAGUUCUCUCCCAAAUUUCUCUGUCCUCAGAUUGGCUGAACUGAAGUAUCAAGCUUCGUAGUUGUUGUUGAGCAUUCCUAAAAUGGCUCCACUGGACUGGAAUGGUACUUGAUGAAUUGCUGAAUAAAUUUCAUAUAUCUCAAGGGUAUUUAUACAGAGUACAAAAGGCUAUUUUAGGAUAGCCAACUAUAGAUAAUAACGGACAAGUGUAUAAAGCAAUUGCAGUUCUAUAAUUAAUAAUUACAACAAUAUAACUACAACUAUAUACACAAUUGUAUAGAAUAUACACAACUGUAAAUCACUGUCCAGAAUCUGUCUAGAAUAUAUGCUGACUCUCCCCUUCAAGUUGGUGCAUAGAUAUUGCACAUACCCAAUUUGGAUAAUGAUGGAUAAAUUGACCACUAGUAACAACAUGAGACAUCAUAUGGGCCAAUUGAUUGGCACUUUUGAUGUAGGGAACCUUCAUCACGUUAGAGUCUAGGUUAUCCUUGAUGUAGUUCCUGUCAAGUUCAAUGUGCUUGGUUCAGUCGUGUUGUACCGGAUUAUUUGCAAUUUCAAUAGCUGUCAUGUUAUCAUAAAAGAGCACCAUAGGUUUUUUGGGACCAAAUCUAAACUUUCUUAAGAGAAUUCUUAGCCAAUUAAGUUCCGUAGUUACAUGAUGGGGCGCACGACAUUCAACUUUGCACUAGACAAUGAGACCGCAUUUUGUUUCUUACUCCUCCAGGUUACCAAAUUUCCUCAUAUAAAUGCAACAUACCUUGAAAUAGACUUUUUAUCCAAUUUGGAUUUGACAAAGUCAGAGUUUGUGUAACCUUCAAUAUCUAGAUGUUCGUGUUUGGAGAACAUAAUACCUUUUCCUGGAGAGGACUUCAGGACAUGAUACGAUUAUUGUAUUCAUGUGUUGGUCACUUGGAUUAUGCAUGAAUUAACUUACAAUGCUAACUACAUAUGACAAGUUAGGUCUAGCAUGUCAAAUGGAUUAAUUUCUUAACUAGUUUUUGAUAUCUUUCUUUGUUUGUCGGAAUCUGAUUAGGAUAGAUGGACAAACCAUGAUUUAUCUCAAUGGGAGGAUUACAGGUUCACAAACGGAGUUACUUGUUCAACCAAGAGAUCUACUGUAUACUUCCAUUGUGAGAGGAAAAGUUCUUGCUUGGAUCAAGACACCUCAAUGCCUAAUAAGUAUUUUAGAGCAUCUAAGUCCUUCAUUUCAAAUUCCUUGGCUAGAUAGCUUCGAAGCUUCUCUAAUUUUGUGGAGUUACUAUCUAUAACAAUCAUGUACAAAACCUUUUUUAGUUUGCAUACCUUGCCUUCUUUUGGUGUAAACCUCGCAAGGGGAUACAUGUGCACCUUCUUUAACAGAUCACCAUGGAGAAGGACAUUUUUUACGUUAAACUGUCUUAAUGGCCAAUCUAGAUUAACCGUAAGAAAGAGUAUGACUCUAAUAGUGUUCAUCUUGGUCAUAGGGGCAAAAGUGUCUUGAUAGUUAAUUCCAUAAGUUUGGGUGUAUCCCUUGGCAAUCAGUCUAGCUUCGUACCUAUUAGUUGUCUCAUCUAACUUGUACUUUAUUGAAGACACACACUUACAUUCCACUAUCUACUUUUCUUGAGGAAGCUCAACCAUCUCCCAAGUGGAGUUCUUCUAGAUAGCCUUUAUUUCUUCUACCAUAGCAAGCUCUAGUUAGGAUCUUCAAGGAUUGUUUGAAAAUGACUCGGAAUACACAUAUAGGAUAACUGAAGAGCAAAAGUAAGGUGAAUCUUAGAUAGACAAUUAUAAGAGACAAAAUUAGAAAUGAGAUAGACAACAUUAGAGGAUGAUUUUGAGAAAGCCCAACCUAUCAGGUUUUUUAUGAUCACGAAGAGGAUAUCUCUUACUUUGAUCACCAACUUGUAGAUUCAAGGUAGCAAUUUCAGAAGUUAUAGGUGAAGGAGCAUGUACCCCAAGAUUAGUCUCGAAAGAGUCAUCUGAUGGCAUAGUAGUACCAUUAAGAGAAGUAUUGGAGCCUGGAGGGGGUAUGACGAUAACAUCUUUGUUCUUCCUUGUAUAACCCUGUUGGAAUAAUUUGACUGGUCUUUCAUCCCUUAUUUCCUUAGAUUCAAACUCAACCAACAUAGGGUUAGGAGUAUCUAAAGACUCUCCCUUACCCAAAUCACUUGUAUCCUCCCCCUAACCUGAAAUCCAUAACUUUUUCUUUUAUAACCAUAACCUUUCCUCUUCCUUACUACUAAUCUUCCUCUUUAUUACUACUAAUCUUCCCCUGAAGAGGAACUAGAGACACAUUUCUAGAAAAAUAAGACUCCGCUUUGCAGAAUUGAAUGCCUAUAGAGACAUAGUAUUUGCUUGUAGGAGGAUGAAAGCAUUUAUUCCCCUUUUGGGAAUUAGAGUAACCAAGAAAGACACAUUUAAAAGCACGAGGAUUAAGCUUAUCCCUUUGAUGAGAGUGUAUAUGAACAAACCAUGCACAACCAAAAACUUUAGGACAAAGAUUCAAAGUAGAAGGAAUAGAGCGAAAUCGUGAUAACAUUCGCAAAGGAGUUUGAUAAUCAAUGACACAAGAAGACAUUCGGUUGAUGAGAAAGACAACAACCAUGACAGCCUUAGCUUAGAAACAUUUUGGAACACGCAUAGUAAAGCAUAAAGCUUGUGCCACCUUUAGAAUGUGGUGGUUUUUAUGCUCUGCUAUGCUGUUGUGUUAUGGCGUAUAUGUACAUUUUGUUUGGUGGAGGGUUCCGUUUUCUUUGAAUAAAUUAGUAAGGAACUAAUUCACAAACUCACGGCCAUUGUUAGAGUGAAAGACCUUAACCUGCGUAUUAAAUUGUGUGACAAUCAUUAUGAAAAAUUGAGGAAUAACAUAUAGAACAUCAUUCUUAGACUUAAGCAAGUACACCUAGUUCACCAUAGUAUAGUCAUCAAUAAAAGACACAGAAUAUUUAUGACUUAAAGUAGAAGUAGAAAAAAAAUCCCAAACAUCUAUAAAAACAUGGGUAAAAGGGAUUAAACUUUUAUUUAGACUUAUUUUGAAAGGUACACAAUGAUUUUUACCAUAAAUGCAUUGCCCAGCUUGAGGGGGAGUGUGGAUAAGGAUAGAGUUUGGUUUCCUAUUUGAUUUAUUUUUGUUCAAUAAAUCAGGGUAUUUUGUGAUAAGUCCUGAAAGUUAGGGAGAUUUAAAUUUUCUGUUUUUUUUUUAUAAAAAAAAAAAUUAAUUUUGAAGUUAGUUUGUUACCUAGAUUUUAGGAGGAUAUUGGGUCCUAGUUUUUAGAAGAUCUCCCCGCUGUCAUAUUGAGGAUUGUUGGUUUUUAUCUUAAUUGUGCAUCUUCAGGGAAGGGAGCCUUCUUGACCCCCCUCAAGCUUUAUGGGGUUAAAGUUUUUCACAACAAGGGAGAAUUUAGCAUAAUGAGAAACUAUAAAUCACAGUUCAAGAUAUGAGGCUCUAGGUUUCAAUGGAGGAGAAAGGGAAAGCAAGAAAAUGAAUGUGCAAAGAAAAUUUGUGGUAAAUAAUUACAAUCAAACGAUGUGAAGAAGAUGCCAGUCUUUUCUAUCUCUUAGUGUCUCUGUUAAAGAGAUUCAGGAUAAGAAUUGGGCCCAGGUAUCAAACUGUACAAAGACUAAAGGAGAUAUGCUUCUGUUGCCACUAAAGGAGUUAUGUCCAGCGCACAAGUUUCAUCAGGAGUUAUGAAUAAAAGUAAAUCAAUUCAACUUAGAAAAUGACUGAUCUAGCAACUGAAACUGCCAAGUGUUAUGUUAAUUGAUCACUCUCUAUCAAACUGCUUACACUACAAAAUGGUUUGAAGGUGAGCCCUUGAAGCACUUGAAAUUGGCUUCUCAAGUGGGUAACAACCACCUUCCUAGUUGUCCCUCCCUGUCCGAAAUUUUUUGAUAUUCCUCCCAUGCAAAGAUGAGCCAGGGUGUCUAUAAAUUACCUUAUCUGCUUGUUCAGCUGUUGAUGCCAUUAUUCAUAUGGGAAGUUCCACUGGAGUAGCAUCUUGUAGGCUUUGAGCACUGCUUCUGAGGUAAACUUCCUGGCUUCUGAUGCCAAGUUGUGGUCUAGGGGAAAAGUUCUAAUAUUUAGAGAAGCAGCCUAAGAAGAUUGCAUUUAUUGUCUAUCUCUCGCAUUACAUACAAUUAUCAAUGAGGCACAAUGUCCCUAUACAGCAGAUAUUACUCCAACUGCUUAUAGUCCAUUACAUUCUUCCUCUAGACAAUCAUGCUCAUGCUGCAUACCCAGACACACGCACGUGUAUUCACACAAAAGUGGGACAUUUUGGCUAAUACCAGAUGUUACCAGAAGUUCUUCUCUACCCAAUUUGGUUGAUCCAUCUCUUUUGUUUUGCCUUGCAGUCAAAUUUUCUGGUUACAGAAAAAAAGGCAAUGAGAGAUUGUGGAUCCACAACGUGAAGGGGUCCAGUCAGAAAGCCUUGAUGCGCUGCUCUCAGUCGCCAUCCAGUGUGUCUCCAGGACCUGAGGAUCGACCAACCAUGCAUAGGGUGGUCCAGAUACUUGAAUCUGAAGUCAUGGCCCAUGUCCUAGUGACUUCUAUGAUUCCAACUCAGACUGAGAGCCCUCUGGGAGACAAAGAAGACAUGUUUGUGUUCAUAUUGCAUGUCAUCACAGCUUCUCCCAACAAACUAAGAAGGUUAUGCAUGCAGUGAGGGGCUCAAAAUCUGCAGGGUUUCAUCUUCCACUUCAUUUAUUCAUUCCUUUUGUAGACGUAUGACAACUAGAAGAUGCCUUGUUCCAUCAAUCCAUUCAUUUAUCAUCAAAAUCUGAGCAUUUGGUCCACCGGCCACCUAUGGGAUUCAGGGUAAAGCUGGCUACUCUUGUUAUCGUCAUUUUGCAUGGGUGCAGGCGGACUUUCCUUUCUCAACCGGAAUGACUUUUCCACUAGUGGUAUGUUGCAGGCAGGGCAGGGCAGAGCAAAGCAAUGUACUGUUUUCCAUUCCUGAGAACUGAAAAUAUGCCCAAAAAAA